rnacentral:lncRNA from 1 species
UGAGGCAGAGUUUCGUCCUGAGCAAUGAAGAUAGAGACCAAUCACUUUGAUCGUGGUUGUUCUAGCCAAGCCGCUUCGGAUCCAGCUAGCCCUUGAAAGGAUUAACUAAACAUAUCAUUACUUAAGCAAAGGUCUCGGCGUCCCCGACCUUGGGGCCUAGUCGCUGGCUUGAUGGCUAAUCAUCAGUCUAUGGUACUAAAGACCUUACCGGUCGGGUAAAGCUUGCGCGAAGGGAUUCGUUGAACAUAGUUCAACUCAUUCACUCUAAUAGUAGAAGUCAUCAGGACGGUAGCACUUCAGCGAAUAGCAGCUACUGCUGCAGCAGCUUUAGAUACUCGCCUGGAAUCGGUAUUUCAGACCUAUGUCAUGGGUCCCACCUGCUUACCGGCAUGCUUCUUGCAACACGGACUUCGGGUUUUGGAGGGCGUCCCGCGCCUAGCCCUUAGCUCGGGACGGGAUGAAGUGUUCAAGGUUCUCCCCAGUCAUUAUUAUUAUAACACAUCAAAAUCGUCUCGUAAAACCGCUAUGCGCUCUCAAGAUUUCAAUAACACUUCUGAAGUAGAAUUGUUAGAGAUUCA